UACCUCAGGCUGACACGUGUCACACAUUAAAACGCCUUCAGUAUAUGGGCUUUCUUCGUCAACCCAAUAGCAGAGGUCCCUUUUGUCUUCAUCAGCUCGACGCCGAAAUUAGGGUUCGUACUCACCUUCAAUCUCCAUCGCCAAACAAUGUUCUUCUGUAUUGAAUGAGCUAUUUUGAAACUAUGAUGGCAGCCACCGUGAAUGUCCACCGGCUUAGAAGACUCACUUUAAAUCUCAUAUCCUCUUUCAUUCACCUUCACCUCCUCCUCCUUCAGACGAUUCCAUUUCCUCAAGCCAUGCUCUUCCCUCAAACA
rnacentral:lncRNA from 1 species